rnacentral:rRNA from 1 species
UACGUAGGGUGCGAGCGUUGUCCGGAAUUAUUGGGCGUAAAGGGCUCGUAGGCGGUCUGUCGCGUCGGGAGUGAAAACUCAGGGCUUAACCCUGAGCCUGCUUCCGAUACGGGCAGACUAGAGGUAUGCAGGGGAGAGCGGAAUUCCUGGUGUAGCGGUGAAAUGCGCAGAUAUCAGGAGGAACACCGGUGGCGAAGGCGGGUCUCUGGGCAAUAACUGACGCUGAGGAGCGAAAGCGUGGGGAGCGAACAGG